rnacentral:rRNA from 1 species
UGCGAGUCGAGCGUCUCUAGCUAUGUUGAGACGCGGCAUACGGCUCAGUAACACGUGGCUAACCUACCCUCAGGACGGGGACAAACCCGGGAAACUGGGGCUAAUAUCCGAUAGGUGAGGAUGCCUGGAAUGGUUUCUCACUCAAAGGGCUUUGGAAACAUGCUUCCAUUGUCGCCUGGGGAUGGGGCCGCGACCGAUCAGGUUGUUGGUGAGGUAAUGGCUCACCAAGCCUAUAACCGGUACGGGCCGUGAGAGCGGUAGCCCGGAGAUGGGUACUGAGACAAGGACCCAGGCCCUACGGGGCGCAGCAGUCGCGAAAACUCCGCAAUGCACGAAAGUGUGACGGGGCUACCCCGAGUGCCAUCCGCUGAGGAUGGCUUUUCCUUGGUAUAACUAGCCAGGGGAAUAAGGAGAGGGCAAGACUGGUGUCAGCCGCCGCGGUAAUACCAGCUCUCCGAGUGGUAGGGAUGAUUAUUGGGCUUAAAGCGUCCGUAGCCGGCUUAGCAAGUCUCCUGUUAAAUUCAGCGACCUAAUCGUUGAGCCGCGGGAGAUACUACUAGGCUAGGAGGCGGGAGAGGUCGAC